rnacentral:lncRNA from 10 species
AAAAAACAUGAACUGCCAUUUGAUUUUCCACUCAAUUGCAUCUACCAACUGGCAGACAGACCAACUGAGAGAGUCCGUCCGUUCAGUAGCUGGAUUCGCCAUGGGUGUGCCCCAGGAGUGUUAGCAAGGCUAUUUCUCCGGAUCAGAAUAGUCCACAGACAGCAACUCUCUGAGGGAAGGCUCCACAACUGAACUAGUAAGACGUGCCUCUGCUUAAAAUAAUCAUAAGGAAUUUCUCCCUUCUCUUCUAUGGGUCUUAACCUUCUAAUUAGCCACCUCUUUAUCCUCUGAGAAUAUCUCAAGUCCAUGUCUGAUAAGCCACUUCUCAGCAGGGAGAGAACUGCAUCUUAAAAUGGAUUUGAUACUUCUUAGUAAACUGACAAAUCAGCCGAGGGGUGAGUCAAAUGAAAAUUUUAGGACUAUCGCCCUGCAAAAAAGGUGAUGAUUGCUAUAGGUUGGGAGAGUUAUAAUCUGUCAGAAUCUUCUGUUGCAAGGAACAGCUUAGCCACACAGCAGUGCUCCAUGGCGGCUGCCGUCAAGAAUCUAAACACGGCUUGGAAUUCUCUGAGGAUGUUAUUCAUAAAGGCACAGUUAAUCAAACUCAGACCUCUCUUCAGAAUCUCACUGUACAAGCCAAACUUAUUGCCAAUAGAAGGAAGGUGCCAGACCAGAGAAGGGAGAUCUCUACAUAUGAAAGGUGAAGUAACUUGAUUUCAGUUGUUUUGGAACUAACUUGGAGUGGUGAGAAACUACAGCAUUGUCGUGUUCUCACUAUCAGAGGUGAUUUUCUUCUAUCAAAUGCUGCUGAGUUGAGGUCAAUGCUUGAUCUGAGGACCAACGAUACAAUCUCACUUUAUUUUCAGAACAAGGUCCUCAAAGCAGCCACCUGAUUGCAACAAGCCAGUGGUUCUAUGCAAGUUCCACAGAGUGACCUUCACAGAGGAUGUCCGUUGGAAGGACUGCAGGUUGAGCUGACAGCAUGUUCGGGGUGGCAUGCAUAACUGAAGACUCCGGAGGUUCACCAAGAGCUUAAAAUUUUGUGUUAAAAUUUAAUUUCGUAUUUUUGGAAAAAUAACUCUGUCAUAUUCCAAGGAGUUCUGAUAUUCUACUACAGUUUGUCAAUCCGCAGCAGCAUGUUUAUGCCGGCCUGUUUUAUAAUUAACUGUUUAAGCAUCUCCUCUAAGAUCAUAGGACUUGGGGUUGUGAGAUCCCACAGACAACAUGUUCAUCUCCACAUAAAGCUGUGUUCAAAUGGUUUCAGACUGAUGGAUAUCAGAAUUUUCCUCUUGCUACAAGAAAGAGUUCCAAGAUGGAGACUAAACAACAUCCCCUGGUAUCUCAUUCCAAGGGUUGGGGAAGUUCUGUGCCAGCAAACCACUUUGUGGUUGCAUUAGAUGCUCUCUGCCGCCUGUGGUUAGCUGGAAGUCAGUUUACCACAGGACUUUUAUCACCCAGCAGCUGCAUUUAGCUUUCUGGGUGACCCUGGCUCACACUCCAAACCAGACAAAAGCCCUGAGGGGAUUUUUAAGGAUCAUCCAGAAACCCUCAGAAAUGCAGGGAGUCUAUGCCACAUCUACAGAAACAAGGAAGAUUAAAAAAUAAAAAAAAAAAUUUAAAAAGUGCCAUGAUCACUUUGGCGUCCUCUAGAGGCAACUUUCUUCCAUCUUGUAGAUUGUGAAACAGAACAUUCGGGGGAAUUUCAUGUCAGUACAGAGACAAACAUCUUGUGAGCGAUUUCCUCAUAUGACUUACCAGUACCCUUUCCUACAUUCUUUUUGUUGAUUACUUUACAUGACCACAUGAUCCCUUUUCUCAUGGAAACGUCAUCAUAAAAUCCUGUACCAUGGAAAAAGAAACCAACAACAACAAAAUUAAAGCCAGAGCUUCGAUUGUGUCUAUCAGUUCUGUUUAUUUUGAUGCAAGCCUUGAAGGUAGCCCUUCAGUCAUCCUUUCUAAAUGCUUCCCAUUCACAAACAUGUGAUUUGAGUUGGUUUCAUCCCCCUUUUAACAAAUGAGGGAAACUCUGAUAGGAUGUAUUAUAAUCAAGAACAUGGUAUUUAUACCAUUUAGACCAUUUAUACCAUUAUAGGUCUGACGGCCUAUAAUUCUCAACACCACCACUUCCUGUCUUUGGGUAAGUUACUUAACCCUUCUGUGCCUCAGUCAUCUCAAGUGACAAAUGAGUAAAAUAAGAGCACCCUCUGCAUCACAGUGUUGUGAGGAUUAAAUGAAAUAAUGCUCAUAAAGCACAUCAGCAUCCUUCAUGUUUAUCUAGUAUUUCUAGGGACUCACUGGAGUAGAGGAGAAAAGAUUCAGGAGUCAUGUAACAAAAGUACCCACCUCAUAGGGUUGUUGAAAGCAGUAAAUUAGUCAAUGAAGACGAAACACUAAGAUAAGGCUUGGCAUGACACUUC